UACGUAGGGUGCGAGCGUUGUCCGGAAUUAUUGGGCGUAAAGAGCUUGUAGGCGGUUUGUCGCGUCUGCCGUGAAAGCCCAGGGCUUAACCCUGGGUCUGCGGUGGGUACGGGCAGACUAGAGUGUGGUAGGGGAGAUUGGAAUUCCUGGUGUAGCGGUGGAAUGCGCAGAUAUCAGGAGGAACACCGAUGGCGAAGGCAGAUCUCUGGGCCGUAACUGACGCUGAGGAGCGAAAGCAUGGGGAGCGAACAGG
rnacentral:rRNA from 1 species